UACGUAGGUGGCAAGCGUUGUUCGGAAUUACUGGGCGUAAAGCGCGGGCAGGUGGCUCUUUAAGUCCUUUGUGAAAUUCCGGAGCUCAACUCCGGAUGUGCAUAGGAUACUGGAGAGCUGGAGACUGGUAGAGGCGAGCGGAAUUCCUGGUGUAGCGGUGGAAUGCGUAGAUAUCAGGAGGAACACCGGUGGCGAAGGCGGAUCUCUGGGCCUUACCUGACGCUGAGGCGCGAAAGCUAGGGGAGCAAACAGG
rnacentral:rRNA from 1 species